AAUAAGUGUUUUAUGGCACUUUUUAAAUCCAUAUCCACCUUGUGUGCAAUGUCGGUUGGUCUUCUUCAUGGAGAUCGACCAAACAUCAACCUAAUUUUUAACUCUUUGUCUGAAAAAUAUUAUGAAUAAAUAAUUCAAAUACAACUUUCAACAACGGAUCUCUUGGCUCU
rnacentral:misc_RNA from 1 species